GCAACUGGAGGGAAGAGAAGGUGAAUGUACAUGAGUGGAUAGGACAAGCACAUUUCCAUCAUUACUGAGGAAGCACCACCUUUGCUCAGCACUGUGUUCCACAUUUCAAGUGUUAACAUAUGCAUAUCCUGUUCUAAGAUAGAAUUCCUGAUGCAGCUUGCAAGCUGGUCAAAAAGUCAGUUUCACAAGUAUGAUUUGAAAACAUUUCUGUGCUGUAGACUAGAAGAGUACACAGAAGAGAUGAUCUGAGCACAUUGUUUUUGUGUUGAUGUGAAGACACCAGGGGAGAUAUUUGGGGGGGGGAACUUUUUGUCAUGCUGGUAAAAAGGGCCAAUAUUUUGGAAAACUGAAAGAGCCACUCGAUGCUGUAGGACACAACAAAGCAAAAACUACUGACAGCAAAGCACACAGAUCAUCAGAUUAACACUGACCAAGUACACAGUUGCAAGGCUGUCUUUAGAUUGUGGAUUUAGUGGAUCCACAGAAUACCAGAAUAAACUCCUCCUAAGUCAACUUUCAACAUGCAGUGAGUAGAUGAAAGUGAGGUUUUACUAUUGGUAAAGUCUGUUUCAAAUUGAAAAAGCAAGUAGGCACUGUUCAUUUUAGAUGACUGACAGAAUUAAGUAAGAAAUGAGUAAUAAUAAAUUGACACAAUUUGGGAAAGUGAAAGAGAGAACUUGGCCAGCAUGGAUGGAGGAAGGGCCUCUAUGGUCUAGUCAGGGGUCUGGAAAAGGCUUAUGUGCACAAAAUACUAGAAACUGGAGCAUUAGAAAGCUGUUUUGGGGUAUGAGCAAGAGAAGAAAGGAGACUCAAAUGUAAGCAUGAAAUUGUGGGCAAUAAGAGGUAUUUGUUCAGUCCGUCCAUCCAUCCAUCCAUCCAUCCAUCCAUCCAUCCAUCCAUCCAUCCAUCCAUCCAUCCAUCCAUCCACUCACCCAUCCACCCAUCCCACUGACAUUUAAGUAAAGGUAUAAGGCAAUGUAGUAGACACAAAAAUGAGUUAGAUAUGACCUCUGUUUCCAAAGCCCAUUGUCAAGGAGUUAAAUUAGUGUGAUUAUAUAUACAAUUAAUCUAUUCAUGGCACUACAAUUCAAUGCCAUAGAUUCUUUAGUACAAAUUUUAAUAGAGUGCUAUGUGAAGUUGCAGGAUUAGGAGCCUGGGGAUAGAUUGAAGAGAGACAAAAUGAAUGGUAGAGUAGACCACAGACUGGGGCAGACUAGUUAGAUUUGAUGUAGAAGCCAAGAGAGAAGGCAUUUAAAAGUAUUGAGGAUGUGACACUUAGGGAUGGGUUGAGGAGGAAUGUGUGAAUGACACCUUUGUGGCACAUUUUUUAAUUAAAUGAUUUGGUUGAUACAAUGAGGACUUUCAGGGAACCUUCCAAGAGCUCCAUUAAAAGCCAGGGUUAGUAAUGCAUCAGUAAAGCUAAAGAAGAGACAGACAUUGGGAGACAAGAGGGCAGGGCAGAGGGACCCUUCCAGGGCAAGAGCAGAACUCCACUAUCAUAACGAUUACAGCCUCAUCAAACAGGAAAGGCAAAAACCAAAAGGAACAAAGAAAACAAAACCUGAAGACCUCUGUUAAAGAGGCUUAAAAAAUGAAGCAUAUUUUAUAAGGACUGGAUAAAAUGAGAGUCAACUGCUAAGGAGAUAAGUAUGAAAAGAAUACAGAAUUGGAAAAAAAAUCAAUGCUGGAAGCUAAAUAGGGAGAGGGAUGUACAGUUGGGCUGGGGACUGAGUGUGUAGUAAACACAUGUCAGGGUGGAAAGUUGAAGUUAAUCACUGAGGGGAAGACUGGUUAAAAAAAAAAAGAAGAGAUACAGAUCUGAAGAGAUUCCUAGGUAGUUGAAGGAAAGGGUGUGCCACGAGAGCAAAAAGGAGAGGGUUAAAGGAACGGAUCUGCAAUAGGCUGCCUGGAAUGAUCCACAGAGUCUAGACUUAGCUGAGAACACAGUACACAGGAAGUUAAGGAGGAUGAAGUGUUACCCGGUGAAUGUAAAAAAGAAAGAAAAAAAUGAGUGAUGGAGAUGGAUGUUACUUAGCAGAUAGUGCUGAAUCCAUGGGAGCACUACACACAGAACAGGAGGGAUGCUAAAAACUAAGGCUAUCUCUAGAUUAUCUCUAGAUUAAAGGAGGAGCAACAGUACAGAAUUAUCAACAUUAAAGUUAACCACAGAUGUGAAAGAGCCAGCACUAAGGAACGACAGACAUCAAAUUAAAGUUAAGACUGUAUUCGUGGGCCUCAAAUCAGGAAGGAAUGAAAAUAAGAGGUAGACUGGAAGCAAAGGGAAGGAAAGCAUGCCUCUUAGAGGGCCAACAAGCAGAGAAAGUGGAGACUAAAGAUCUCAAAUGCAAAGUCCUGUCAGAGCUCAAUGUAAAUCUACUUGGUCACAUUUGGGCAUUAGAGACCAUGGCGAACAGUAUGAGGAAGAAGGACCUGAACAGGAAGGGUUGGAGGGAAAUUGGAGGAUUUGGUUGUUAUGGAAGGGAAAGUUUACCGAUUAAGAUGCCAUAGUGCUGGUAGAAAGUGGCUGGUGACAACUUUAUGGAGACACUAGGAUUGCUUAGUGGAGGGUGUGGGCAGGUAGCUUGUGCUGAGAAUAGACUGCUAUUACAAGAUGGAGAAUGAGUAAAGAUUAUGAGGAAGCAAAUAUAUCUCAAGAAUUCUGCAUCCAUGUUGACUAUAGUGCAGGUGGAAAUGGAAAAGAUGACAGAUGCAGAUUACUGCAUAGUGCGCCAUUAAAACUGCUGAUAUGCUUUGUGGAUAUUGGCUGACUCUGAGUGACAUACUUAGGGAGCCUUGUAUGAAAGGAUCAGAGAAGACAGGUUGGAUUCUGAAAAAAAAGUAAAUAGUAUUUUGAAUGAAGGACAAAGUGAGUACAAAGGGUGGGUAGGGAAGGGCAUUGUAGAGGGCCAAAAUGGGGAAUGCUGAAGAAAAAUGACUGAGUUGAAUUUGUAGGAGAGAAACUGUGUUAUGCUAGAUUGCAACCAAAGAUGGAGAGAAGACUGUGGCUAUGAAACAGUGUUAUGAAGGAGUAUCAUCUGCUGGUUUCUCCUUGAAUGGCAUCUGAAGCCACCAAUGUGACUCACAGACCUAAGGGUUGAGGAGUAUAAAUGGGAUGGCUCUGAGCUAUGGCCAAUUGCAGGAACCUUCUCCAAGUCUGGACUAAACCAUAUUGUACUGACUACCAUGGAGGAGGAGGAGGAGGAGGAGGAGGAGGAGGAGAGAGACUGGGAGUUAUCUGAAGGAGAGUUAAUGGUAGGAGCAGCAUGGCAGAUAGCAUGGUAAUGGUGGUCCCCAGAAUGGAACCUGUGAGACUGAAAUAAUGAGGGUCUCAGGCUGGCUGUUGGAUCUUAAAGCCAGACUUUCAAAAGUGGCAUACAUGUGUACUGGGAAAAGAGUGAGGGCAUUAAAUUAGGGGAGGCUUUGGUGGGUGUUUUCAUUCAAAGGAACAGGAAGAGAUGGACUAGGCUGGACCUUGAUAAAAUGACACCAGGAGAAGUCUCUGAGUAGUGUGUCCACAGAAUGGAUGAAUAAUAUUGGGAGAGAGUGGCUGAAGAUUAUGAUGGGAACCCAACUCAAAAGUAAAACUUCAUUUUUAUUUCCAAGGAGAAAUGGGGGAUGGACAUACAUAUAAUUAAGACAUCGGAGUACAAAUUGAUACAUGUGUGCCAUGUAGAGUGCUGCACCAAAGUUCCUCUGCUGUACGAAGGGUUUUUGUUCUUGUUUCGGAAGAGGGGAGACAUCUAGAGAGAGAACCUGGCUAGACAGCCUUGUUCAAGAGGAACACAGGUGGUUUCUACCAGAGGGCUGAUCCUGUUUUAGGACAAGCCAGAGAGCGAGGAGGGAAGGAGUGGGAAAACAACAGGUGAAAAUAAAUUACGGCAGGCCCUGUCCAGGAGGAGAAACCCCUUAUUUGGGUCCCAAGACAUGAAGAAGAGAGGUUAAUGCCUCUGAAACCUAGAGAAUGAUUCCGAUGAGAGAGACCAUGGAGCUGUAGCACAGUUUCCAGAACUAAACUCUGAACACAAUGAGGAGUACAUGCCCAGAAAAGAGAGCAGGAAGGAGUGCUUGAUGCCCGGGUGUGAACUUGGUAACUUAAGGGCUCGGUGGAAGGGAAGGGAAGAGCAGUGUUUCUUAACUGUGUUCUAAGUAUAGAGUCACAGCCCUACUGAACCUGAAAUUCAGGUGGGCUCAGCAGAUCAGAUGAGGCAUGCAGAAUGUUUAAGAUAUGGUAGGGAGAGACAGGAAAGUUGGAGGCUGGAUUGGCUGGGGACUGUUAAGGAAUCUUGUAGAGCCAACUGAAGGUGAGAGAAGUGAGACACAAUCAGGAGAACAUAUUUAUGGGGUGGGUGUGCUUGAAUGGCGAUAAAGUAAGCCAACUGAGGUCGUUUAGAACACUAAGGUUCAGAGUGUCAAAAGCGACAGGCCACAAAGAGGAAUGCAAAUAUUACUAGCUCUGUAGUACACAGUCUAAAAGUAGUUAGCAUGUAAAGUUCUUGUAUACACAUGCACACGCGCACGUGCGCGCGCACACAUCACCACCACCACCACCACCACCACCACCACCACCACCACCACCACCACCACCACGUGCUUAGGAAGCCUUGUACUAGUUAGUUACACUCAGAUGCUAAUGCUAAUGAUUCCCUUGUACAUAAGCCUGCUUGGGGUAGUAUAGUUUUUUUUUUUUUUUUUUUAUGGCCAUAGUAUUUAUCAGUAGGCUCAUUUCCUAUGAUCAAGGACCGUAAAAAAAAUGCUGUGAAAUAUUCCUGUCAUCUUCCCAAUAAUAUGGGCGAGAUAACUCAAGAAACUCAUCAGUUGGUAAGUAAAUAUUUCCAAAAUAUUUAUUUAUAUUCUAUGUAUUUAGUAUGUAAGGUAUUACAACUUGUUACUUAUGUUAAAAAUAUCACUGUUUCAUCCUAUAGUGUGAGUAUGGGAUCAUUUUGUACUACAUAAAAAUGUGUCUCUUAUUGAACACUGCAUGUAAGAUAAUUGGACAACUGUUUUUAAACAUGGUUUAUAUUGUAAAAUAGUCUUAAAAUUUUUCAUUAUCAUUUUAAUGGUGGUUUGAAAAUGUGCUUUUUUUUUCCCCCAAAAGGGAGCUGGAUGAAGGCCUUUUCAAACUCAGAAUGUAUUGUAUUACUAUUAAAAGAGUAUGUGUAUGGGGGGGGCGUGGUUAAUGAUAAUUGCUGGUAUUUACAAAGCAGUUGAGUCAGGAAGAAGGUAGUUAUUAAAGGAAGAAAGGGAAGGAGAUCAAACGAUAACUAAAAACAGGACAUGAGAGGGAGGGGUAAUGUUCAGGGAAGUGUAUACAAAGGAAGGUACAGUUGAUAGAAAAGUUAAGAAUUAGGUUGUAUGUGUGUGUAUGUGUGUGUCCUAGGGGUGGUGGCGCACACCUUUAAUCCCAGCACUCAGGAGGCAGAGGCAGGUGGAUCUCUGAGUUUGAGGCCAGCCUGGGCUACAGAGAGAGUUCCAGGACAGCCAGGACUAAAUAGAGAAACCCUGUCUCUAAAACCCAAACCAAACAAAGAAUUUGGUUGUGUAGCCGUGAAACAAAUCGAGUGGCAGGGAUCCUGCUAAGGAGCGACCAGAGAACCAGAGCAACUGAGCACAGUCUAGGAAAAUGGGAACUAUGAAAACAGAUUGAGGGAUGAUAAAUUAGUCAUCCCUAACACAGGCAGAAUAGGAACAGGUAAAAAAGCAAGGGAAAGGCCAUGUGAAGAGGACAUGCUGGGAAAAAAAGUCUUGGCACUGUAAUUACAUCAAAAGGAAUAGAAUGUAGGUGGAAGCUAAGUAUGUUAUGGGUUUGAUAAUAGAGGGUUAGUUAGUGUCACAAGACCUUCAAGAGUGAGGUUAGCAACCAACAACAACCAAAGGGGGCAGCAGAAUCAGAGUAUGAGACAAGAAAAGGACCAGAGCACAAGAGACCAAGUACACUGACGGGAAAGAAGCAAGUAGGAGACAGUCAUGUAGGGCAGGAUGGAAAGGAGGGUGGAGUAUAGUUAAGUCUAUUCAAACAAGGGGCACUGGGGAAGUGAGCAAAGACACUGAAUGAAGCUGGGGAAAGGAGCCCAGAGAACACAGGGGAAAGAGCAUAUCCAUGCCAUGAUGACGACGACGACAACGACGACGACAAUGACGACGACACCAGAAAGAUGUUAGAAAGCAGUGAUGGAAGGAGGUGGAAGGGGAGGUAAACUGAAAAAUCCAAGGAAAAAACAGAUACUGGACCUCUAAAUUUUAAAGAGGGAAAAAAAAGUGGAAAUGAGGAGUAAAAUAUCAAUCAUAUAGUGCAGACUAUGGUUAGAACAUACUGCAUGUGAAUGGAUGAACAGGGAAGGGAAGGAGGUGUCUCCAAAAGGAGGGUUCAGGGUCUAUACAAGAAGGGAGGCACUGAGAUGCUUGAGUGAGGACAUCAAGCAGUCACCACCAGAAAGCUAGGGCAUGGAAUGGAAACCAAAGGCCAGGAAAGACAGGGGCCAUCCACAGCAGUGAUUCUUAACCAGGGGUGGGGGGUUGGGGGUUUCCCCUGGGGGGGGGGGGCGGGCAUGGCCCCCAGGUGGCCUAUCAGAACAUCAGAGGCAGAGCAGUGAUCUGCUCACAAAUACCAACAAUAACACCAUCCAGAAGGUGUUCUGAUAGGCUACUGGGGGGCCAUGCACCCCUGGGUGAGAAUCACUGGUGGAGGGGAUGGGAUGGAGAUGGCUACAGAGAAGGAAGGGUGAGCAGAUGGAGCCUGUGAGUCCAGGCAGAUGGAGGCAUCAGAUCAUGACUGUCAGACUUGGGAGAAAAGGUGCUGUCAGUGCAGGGGGAUGACAGUGAGCAGCUGGAUGCAGUGCACAAGGAAGGUCUGAGGAAGGAUGAGAGCUGUGUGAGGGUUUGCUGUCAGGGGCAGGGAGUGCAGUGCCAACACUGUGGUUCCUGCUGAGGACUGCGGUGGAGGAGUGAGUGAGGCUGAUAGAGAUGAUGAUGCAUAGGGGUGAUGGGGGAGUGUGUGGCUGGUUGUUCACGGAGAGGCAGGUAGGGAAACUCAGGGAAGGAAAUGAAUGCUAAAGGAGAAGGAGGAAAAGGAGUCAUGGACUGGAGUGCCCAGGAGAAGCACUGUCAGCCCAGGAGCAGGUCAGAGUGGGGUGGGCACCUCUGUAUGGAUAUGGGGUGACCUGUGUGGGAACAAGAAUGAGGGCAGAAGACAAAAGCAUGCAUGGACAGGAACAUAGUAUAGAAUGAAAGACCCAGUUUUCCUCGGCAUGUUUUCAGAAGAAUGUGAAAGGCAAUGUGAUAUGUGUCACCUUGUGCCACAGAUGUAGGAUGCUGAGAGGAUACCAUAGUUCAGGCCAUGAAGAGGCAAACUUUGAGUGCCUAGGUAUGGGAGUAUAAUGGUACAGUAGGACUCUAGCUUAGUGAAUGCAAUCCAACACUGGGCACCAAGGGUAGCUCAGGAAGGGAGGACUCAUGAAAAUGUCUACUACAUCAGCUAGAGGAUUCCUAACAGCAGCACAAAGCAUAGUGGCAAGAUAGUUCUUAAUUAUGCACGAAAGAGAAAAGCAGGAGAAAUGGUUACUCAGGGCCCAGAAGUAAGAGGUUAGAGGUUUUCAACCCAAGGGAGACCUGUGAUAGCUAAGAUGUUAUUUGGCAAGAAUGAGAAAGAACAAAAUGAAGGAGCCCAGCAGGAAGGAAAGAAAAGGCAUGUUGAGAGGGUUACAGAGGGCAUUACAUCUAGGAAGACAUGGCCAAGACCAUGGGCAUGGGAAUGGAUAGGGAACAUGCAGAAACUCUGUCUUAAUGCAGGCAGAGUGCAUAAGGAAGCCCAGGGAAGAUAAAGACCAUGGAAGAGAAGUGUGCAGCAGAGAAGCAGAUGAGGCCAGAGCAGAAAGAGGGAGGAGUGGUCAUGGUACUUUAUCCCUGAUGUGCAGAAGUGAGGAAAGGUGGAGGGAAAGGAUCCAGGUAUGUCACUGCCUUUAAUAAAUAGAGAGAACUUUAGAGGUGAAUUUGGACAGCUGAUGGAUUCAGUCCUGCUGGCUAGGGACACAGAGGCUGACAAUAGUGGCAACAGUGAGGACAGGUCAACAGCUGAGCAGAUAGCAAGGGAAAAGAGUCCUGAGUCCAUGGGUUGGCGGGGAGGUGGCAGAAGAAGUAAGGCUGGAUGCUGAUGGGGAAGUGGGGGGUUUCUGGAAAACGAUAGUAGAGAGAGGCAUAGGGGAACACCAUGUAAGAUUUAAAUUCAUGUUCAGGGCAGAAAGAGAGACUGCAGUUGGCUGCCAUGGGAAAGUGCCCAGUGGGAGUCAAGUCAAGGAGCUGAUAGGAAAAGAGAAGAGAAGUCAAUCCAGGAGAAAAUGGAAAGAUCUUGUGUGGUGGUUUUGGCUAAAGCAAAUGAGCCACUGUACAAAAGGGGAAGUCUGGAUGUAAAGCUCUCCAAAUGGGGGCACUGGCAAACUCAGGGCUCAGUCUGGUAGGAUGGAGAAUCAGUGUCAAGUCUUA